rnacentral:rRNA from 1 species
CAUGCAAGUCGAGCGGUAGCACAGAGAGCUUGCUCUCGGGUGACGAGCGGCGGACGGGUGAGUAAUGUCUGGGAAACUGCCUGAUGGAGGGGGAUAACUACUGGAAACGGUAGCUAAUACCGCAUAACGUCGCAAGACCAAAGUGGGGGACCUUCGGGCCUCAUGCCAUCAGAUGUGCCCAGAUGGGAUUAGCUAGUAGGUGG